rnacentral:tRNA from 1 species
GGAGUGGUAUCGAAGAGGUCAUAACGAGCCUGACUCGAAAUCAGGUCGUCGGUUUUCCGGCGCGUGGGUUCGAAUCCCACCCACUCCG